rnacentral:rRNA from 1 species
GACGAACGCUGGCGGCGUGCCUAAUACAUGCAAGUCGAACGAACCGCGACUGAGUGCUUGCACUUGGUCAAGGUGAGUGGCGAACGGGUGAGUAACACGUGGGUAACCUACCUCAUAGUGGGGGAUAACAGUCGGAAACGACUGCUAAUACCGCAUAGGACAUGGACUCACAUGAUUCUGUGAGGAAAGGUGGCGCAAGCUAUCGCUACGAGAUGGACCCGCGGUGCAUUAGCUAGUUGGUAGGGUAAGGGCCUACCAAGGCGAUGAUGCAUAGCCGACCUGAGAGGGUGAUCGGCCACAUUGGGACUGAGACACGGCCCAAACUCCUACGGGAGGCAGCAGUAGGGAAUCUUCCGCAAUGGACGCAAGUCUGACGGAGCAACGCCGCGUGAGUGAAGAAGGUCUUCGGAUCGUAAAGCUCUGUUGUUAGAGAAGAACAGCGCAUAGAGUAACUGUUAUGCGUGUGACGGUAUCUAACCAGAAAGCCACGGCUAACUACGUG